CGUGAACGCUGAGGAGCAGGCGUGGUAAAGAGGAGGGGGCGCGCGUUGUUCGGAAUUACUGUGCGAAAAGCGAUGUUAGGCGGUCGAUCACGGCAUGUGUGAGAACCCGGUGCUGAACCCUGGGCUUGCAGUGGAGACGGGCAGACUAGAGGCAGGGAGGGGAGAAUGGAAUUCCGGGUGUAGCGGUGAAAUUCGCAGAUAGCGGGAGGAACACCGGUGGCGAAGGCGAUUCUCUGGGCCUGACCUGACGCUGAGGAGCGAAAGCGUGGGGAGCGAACAGGAUUAGAUACCCGUGUAGUC
rnacentral:rRNA from 1 species